rnacentral:misc_RNA from 1 species
GGCAUUCAGGUAUAUUAUGAUAGCAGCGAACUCAAUAAAUAGCGAUACAUUGAUACACAUCAAUCCAAGUAUCGUUCCAGAUAACAAUUAUACCAACAUACAUUGACUUAUUAGGAAAAGUUGCAAACGAACUGGGUAAUAUCCGUGUAUAACUGUAACCAUUGUCCUAUGACUUAGGGAAGACAUAGGAGAUAUGGCUAGUUCCACAGAGAAUGGCCUCACAAUUACUGUAACCCCCCUCCUACAGGGGUAGGGUCUGGCCUUCUUAACCAAAAAACUCAAUAGUUAUCAACAAAUGGUCGUGAAAAUCAAAUUUACAGACAAGUAUGGAGAGCACAUGAUCUCAAAUAUGGCUAAAUUACUAAAAUAUGAAAACAACGCUGUCAUGGACUCUGGUUUUUUGGUUCUGAGAGACACAUUCAGAAAUCCACAUUAGGUUCCUUAUCUCCUGCUCUCUCAGCCUUAUAUAUGAGAAAAAUACACCAUAGUGGAACUGUUGUUCAAAAGAUAAGCAAAGGCGUUUCACUUCCUCUUCAUAGAAAGCCUUGUCGAGCAUCUGGCUCUCCCCAUAUGACAACUUAGAAAAUAUGGAUUGAUAAGGGGGGUACUUUUCCAUGACACCGCGGACCUGAUCUAUAUCUUCACAUAUGGCAAGUUCCUCAUGACCGUAUGGGUAAAGUAAUCCAAAAUUAGAGUACAACUUCCUGCGGUCAUCACGUGUUAGCUCAGUGCCAAUGCUGUUUAUAGUAAUAUUAACAGCUCUUCUGUCGGCCUCAAAAGAAAGCAAAUCAGACAUGAUUUCUGCAGUUGCACCGCCUAAUUUCUGGCAAAAUCUGUAGAAAUCUUCAAGGUAUGCCUUGUACAGUGUGUUUCUCAUAAUCUCAAUGUUCAUGUCAUCCAAGUCCUCCGAAGUAAUGCACUCAGAAAAGUAUGGAGCCAAGGGUGUGUCAACAAGCACCAGCCUGUAUAAUUCCCUCAUAUUCUGGGCAACUGCCAAAGAAGCAAUGCUGUCAAACAUGCCCAAAGGAUGGCAUUUCUCCAACAGUUCUUGGACAUCUCUCUCAUGCAAAGUUCCGGUGACAAUUAGGACAACAUUGUCAAUCAUGUGGCC